rnacentral:rRNA from 1 species
GAUAAACGCUGGCGGCGUGCCUAACACAUGCAAGUCGAACGAUCCCGCAAGGGAGAGUGGCGGAAGGGUGAGUAACACGUGGGAAUCUACCUCCUCGCAGGGAACAACCUCUCGAAAGAGAGGCUAAUACCCAAAAGGGUCAGAAAUGAUCAGAGUCGAAAGGCGUGAGGAGAGGAGCCCGCGGCCCAUCAGCUAGUUGGUGAGGUAAUGGCUUACCAAGGCUACGACGGGUAGGGGAUCUGAGAGGAUGAUCAGCCACACUGGAACUGAAACACGGUCCAGACUCCCACGGGAGGCAGCAGUUGGGAAUAUUGGACAAUGGGGGUAACCCUGAUCCAGCAAUGCCGCGUGUGUGAAGAAGGCCUGCGGGUUGUAAAGCACUUUUGGCGGGAACGAAACGGCGCUUUCUAAUACAGAGUGCUAAUGACGGUACCCGCAGAAUAAGCACCGGCUAACUACGUGCCAGCAGCCGCGGUAAGUCUCGCGUGA